UACGAAGGGGGCUAGCGUUGUUCGGAAUUACUGGGCGUAAAGGGCGCGUAGGCGGCCUUCUAAGUCAGACGUGAAAUCCCCAGGCUUAACUUGGGAACUGCGUCUGAUACUGGAAGGCUUGAGUGCGGGAGAGGGAUGUGGAAUUCCAGGUGUAGCGGUGAAAUGCGUAGAUAUCUGGAGGAACACCGGUGGCGAAGGCGGCAUCCUGGACCGACACUGACGCUGAGGCGCGAAAGCUAGGGGAGCAAACGGG
rnacentral:rRNA from 1 species